rnacentral:rRNA from 1 species
AAUAGAUACCCAGGUAGUCCACGCCGUAAACGAUGAGUGCUAAGUGUUAGAGGGUUUCCGCCCUUUAGUGCUGUAGCUAACGCAUUAAGCACUCCGCCUGGGGAGUACGGUCGCAAGACUGAAACUCAAAGGAAUUGACGGGGGCCCGCGCAAGCGGUGGAGCAUGUGGUUUAAUUCGAAGCAACGCGAAGAACCUUACCAGGUCUUGACAUCCUCUGACAACUCUAGAGAUAGAGCGUUCCCCUUCGGGGGACAGAGUGACAGGUGGUGCAUGGUUGUCGUCAGCUCGUGUCGUGAGAUGUUGGGUUAAGUCCCGCAACGAGCGCAACCCUUGAUCUUAGUUGCCAGCAUUCAGUUGGGCACUCUAAGGUGACUGCCGGUGACAAACCGGAGGAAGGUGGGGAUGACGUCAAAUCAUCAUGCCCCUUAUGACCUGGGCUACACACGUGCUACAAUGGAUGGUACAAAGGGCUGCAAGACCGCGAGGUCAAGCCAAUCCCAUAAAACCAUUCUCAGUUCGGAUUGUAGG